GACGAACGCUGGCGGCGCGCUUAACACAUGCAAGUCGAACGGAAAGGCCUGCUUUCCCUUGUGGAUUGCGGGUACUCGAGUGGCGAACGAGUGAGUAACACGUGAGUGAUCUGCCCCCAACUUGGGUAUAAGCCUGGGAAACUGGGUCUAAUUCCCGAUAGGACUGCAGGGUGGUGCCUGUGGUGGAAAACGAUUUUCUAGUGGUUGGGGAUGAGCUCGCGGCCUAUCAGCUUGUUGGUGGGGUAAUGGCCUACCAAGGCGGCGACGGGUAGCCGGCCUGAGAGGGUGGACGGCCACAUUGGGACUGAGAUACGGCCCAGACUCCUACGGGAGGCAGCAGUGGGGAAUAUUGCACAAUGGGCGGAAGCCUGAUGCAGCGACGCCGCGUGGGGGAUGACGGCCUUCGGGUUGUAAACUCCUUUCGACCGCGAGGAAGCCACCUGGUUGGAAGGGUGGUGACGGUAGUGGUAGAAGAAGCACCGGCUAACUACGUG
rnacentral:rRNA from 1 species